UACAUGAAGCUGGAGUUACUAGUAAUCGCAGAUCAGAAUGCUGCGGUGAAUGCGUUCCCGGGUCUUGUACACACCGCCCGUUACACCACGGAAGUUGGGGCGCCCGAAGCCAGUGAGGUAACCGAGAGGAGCCAGCCGUCGAAGGUGAGACCAAUGACUGGGGUGAAGUCGUAACAAGGUACC
rnacentral:rRNA from 1 species